UACGUAGGAGGCGAGCGUUGUCCGGAAUUACUGGGCGUAAAGAGCGCGUAGGCGGUUCUGCACGACAUGUGUGAAAGCCCCCGGCUCAACUGGGGAUCGUCAUGUGUAACGGCAGGAAUCGAGAGUGCAGGAGAGGGACGUGGAACUCCGGGAGUAGCGGUGAAAUGCGUAGAGACCCGGAGGAACACCAGUGGCGAAGGCGGCGUCCUGGCCUGCGACUGACGCUGAGGCGCGAAAGCUAGGGG
rnacentral:rRNA from 1 species